UCAAGUGCCAGUAUUUGCUCAGUUCCCUUUUUAAGUUCACAGAGUGGUUAUUCGCAGUUACAUACCUCUGUUUUCAGUUACAUCUGAACAAUAGUUAGGUAUGACUAUAACAUAUAAAGAACAUUUAGUUGCUACAUAUUUACAGCUUUAUAAAUCCCAGUAGGUGGUUUGAUGGCUCCAACCAAUUGAUCGACAUGGUGAUGCUAUGUAGUAAAUUGGUAAAUUGGUGCAUGAUACGGAGGCUUGAUUCUCCUCGCCAAGGUCAGCAGACCAGUGUUAUGAUGUGUGGUGAAUCGACUUUUAAUUUGGAUGCAGAUGAAGUCGUACAGCUUGGUGAACAAAGACCUGUCAUAGUUUUAUUUGUCAGCUCAAAGGUGAUGACAUAUGAUGGUUAGUAUGUUUAUAUGAUCGACUUGUGGAUGGAACAUUUACGUUUCUCAAUAUAUGUUUUGUCACGUCCAUGGGCUAUGCCUCUCUAUUCUACAGGGCUGGGUAUUAAUUGCAGUGUUGCAUGCCAUUAGUAAAUCAACAAGGGCCUAUCAGAUACCGAUAACUUCUGUAACAGGUUACAUAGAUGAUGUUGUAUUUGAUCAUCACCGCUGGCUUGUACCGAGGAAGCUCUCGAUCCACCCAUGGAUUUUCUGGGAUUUUAAAUAAGUCACAGUCAAGUAUAAGUUCCAUCAGAUUCUCCACCAUCUUCUGGAAUUUUACCAGACCAGCUUACUGAAUAUGAAAAUAAUCUGGACAAUUCUUCCUUGGACAAAGCCAACCUUUUAUCAGAUGCAGCAUUAAAAGAGCCUAAAAAUUGCAUUUCUAGCUUGGCUGGUGAGGUGAGGUGAGGUG